GGGGACGUGGUGGAACUGGCAGACACGAUAGGUUGAGGGCCUAUUGCCGCAAGGCGUGGAGGUUCAAAUCCUCUCGUCCCCA
rnacentral:tRNA from 1 species